AAAAAAAAAAAAUAUUCAAUGUAUUAAGUUUAGAACUUAACCAAGUAGAUUUUUUAAUACUACAUUUAGUA
rnacentral:tRNA from 1 species